rnacentral:rRNA from 1 species
UACAGAGGGUGCAAACGUUGCUCGGAAUUAUUGGGCGUAAAGCGCGUGUAGGCGGUUUCUUAGGCCGACUGUGAAAGCCCAUGGCUCAACCAUGGAAGUGCAGUCGGAACCGGGAGACUUGAGUUCCAACGAGGAUGGUGGAAUUCCCAGCGUAGAAGUGAAAUUCGUAGAGAUUGGGAGGAACACCGGUGGCGAAGGCGGCCAUCUGGGGGGAUACUGACGCUGAGGAGCGAAAGCGUGGGGAGCGAACAGG